rnacentral:rRNA from 1 species
GUAGGGAAUAUUGCACAAUGGAGGAAACUCUGAUGCAGCGACGCCGCGUGAGUGAUGAAGGCCUUCGGGUCGUAAAGCUCUGUCGCAGGGGAAUAACACAAUGAAGGUACCCUGUAAGAAAGGAUCGGCUAACUUCGUGCCAGCAGCCGCGGUAAGACGAGGGAUCCUAGCGUUGUUCGGAAUCAUUGGGCGUAAAGCGGAUGUAGGUGGCUAUGUAAGUCAGAUGUGAAAGCCUGGGGCUCAACCGCAGAAGUGCAUUUGAUACUGCGUAGCUUGAGUGUCGGAGAGGUUACUAGAAUUGUUGGUGUAGUGGUGAAAUACGUAGAUAUCAACAGGAAUACCGGAGGCGAAGGCGGGUAACUGGCCGAACACUGACACUGAGAUCCGAAAGCGUGGGGAUCAAACAGGAUUAGAUACCCCUGUAGUCC